GACAGCAGUAGCCGCGGGAAUACGAAGGGUGCAAGCGUUACUCGGAAUUACUGGGCGUAAAGCGUGCGUAGGUGGUGGUUUAAGUCCGUUGUGAAAGCCCUGGGCUCAACCUGGGAAUUGCAGUGGAUACUGGGUCACUAGAGUGUGGUAGAGGAUAGUGGAAUUUCCGGUGUAGCAGUGAAAUGCGUAGAGAUCGGAAGGAACAUCUGUGGCGAAGGCGACUAUCUGGGCCAACACUGACACUGAGGCACGAAAGCGUGGGGAGCAAACAGGAUUAGAUACCCGCGUAGUCCCUGUCUCUUAUAC
rnacentral:rRNA from 1 species